rnacentral:rRNA from 1 species
GACGAAGACACUCGGGUAGUAAUAUUCGAGUGGACUGAGUGGCGAAAGGGGCAGUAACGCAUGGGCAACCUACCUCGGGGAUGGGCAUAGCCGGUCUAACGGCCGGGUAAUUCCCAGCGAUUUGGCGAGUCGGCAUCGAUUUGCCAAGAAAUGGAUUCCGCCUCGAGAGGGGCUCAUGUCGUAUUAGCUUGUUGGCGGGGUAACGGCCCACCAAGGCAAAGAUGCGUAGCGGGUGUGAGAGCACGACCCGCGCCACUGGCACUGAGACACUGGCCAGACACCUACGGGUGGCUGCAGUCGAGGAUCUUCGGCAAUGGGCGCAAGCCUGACCGAGCGACGCCGCGUGUGCGAUGAAGGCCUUCGGGUUGUAAAGCACUGUCGAGGGGGAUAAAACCGCAAGGUUGAUAGAUCCCUGGAGGAAGCACGGGCUAAGUUCGUGCCAGCAGCCGCGGUAAGACGAACCGUGCGAACGUUGUUCGGAAUCACUGGGCUUAAAGGGCGCGUAGGCGGUUUGCCAAGUCAGGGGUGAAAUCCUGCAGCUCAACUGUAGAAGUGCCUUUGAUACUGGCGAACUCGAGGGAGGUAGGGGGUGGGUGGAACUUCUGGUGGAGCGGUGAAAUGCGUUGAUAUCAGAAGGAACGCCGGUGGCGAAAGCGACCCACUGGACCUCUUCUAACGCUGAGGCGCGAAAGCCAGGGGAGCAAACGGGAUUAGAUACCCCGGUAGUCCUGGCCCUAAACGAUGGGCACUAGAUUGUAGACUGGUCAUGGGUUUACAGUCGAAGCAAAAGUGGUAAGUGCC